AACAUGAGUGCAAUUAUAGCUUGGAAGGAUGGGAGCUGGAAGGCUGGAGGAGAAAUCUGAAAAGAGGAUUUCAAGAUGCGAAGUCAGGGGGUGUAUGUGGAAAGAGGAGAGCAGUGUGCAUGCAGGUUGAGGAAAGGAGCAGAGAAGGAAAGCUGGACAGGAAUCCAUGGAAGGGAUGAGAGAAAGUGGAGCCUUAAUGGGGCGAAGCUGGGGAAGAAAGAGGUCGGUGUGAAGCUGUUUUCGGGAAGGGAUGUAAAACUACCAUGUAGCUGAUGGAAAAUUUACUGUCUCGCUUGUGACCACCAGGGAGGAGAGAUUGCUGCUGCCUGCCCUCCCUCCCCCCGGUUCAUCUUUUGAUUUAUAGUAAUAAGAAGCUGUCUUUCCUAAGAGCAGAUCAUGGGGCUCAGCCGAGGGAUUAGAGCCGCGCCGCUGACCUCUGAGCGUGCUGUGAUGCCGGUGAGUCACCGACUCAUCCUCUGUAUUGGCAGGCUGAUGGAUCCCCUGGCAGCUUGUUGGUGGCAUCUCCGUGUUGCUGCCUGAGAUGUGCCUUUUGUGCUUAAACUCUGACUUGAGAAACAAGUUCAUCCCCGGCUCUUUGUGUUUCUCUCCUCCUUUUCUCAGCUUUUACUUCUUCAAAUGUAGACUUCUUUUGACAGAUCAUCUCCAUGGUAACUAACAGGACCGGGCUGCCUGCAGAAAUUGUAGUAAUAAAGUGGUUGGUUU
rnacentral:lncRNA from 7 species